UGCGGGGUCGUCUAAUGGUAGGACACUUCCCUUUGGAGGAAGGUAUUCUUGGUUCGAAUCCAAGCCCCGCAG
rnacentral:tRNA from 1 species